GGCCAGCAGCCGCGGUAAUACGGAGGGUGCAAGCGUUGUUCGGAAUUACUGGGCGUAAAGCGCGCGUAGGCGGCUUUGUAAGUCUGAUGUGAAAGCCCGGGGCUCAACCCCGGAAGUGCAUUGGAAACUGGCGAACUUGAGUACGGGAGAGGAAAGUGGAAUUCCGAGUGUAGGGGUGAAAUCCGUAGAUAUUCGGAGGAACGCCAGUGGCGAAGGCGGCUAACUGGCUCGGUACUGACGCUGAGAUGCGAAAGCGUGGGGAGCAAACAGGAUUAGAUA
rnacentral:rRNA from 1 species